rnacentral:rRNA from 1 species
AUACGGGGGGUGCAAGCGUUAUUCGGAUUUAUUGGGCGUAAAGGGCGCAUAGGCGGCUUGGAAAGUCAGAUGUGAAAGCCCGGGGCUCAACCCCGGAAGUGCAUUUGAAACUAUCAGGCUUGAGUAUGGGAGAGGGAAGUGGAAUUCCUGGUGUAGAGGUGAAAUUCGUAGAUAUCAGGAGGAACACCGGUGGCGAAGGCGACUUCCUGGACCAAUACUGACGCUGAGGCGCGAAGGCGUGGGGAGCAAACAGGAUUAGAAACCCUAGUAGUCC